AUAGGUGUGAGCCACUGUACCUGACCAAAUAAUUAUUUGUGUAUUUGGGAAACUGGAUUUGAGACCUAAAUCUGCUACUACAUUUCUGAUGUGAGUUUGAGAAUUUCCCUUAACCUUCUUAGGUUUCACUUCCUUAUCUUUAAAAUUAAAGUGAUUCAUAUGGAUUCAAUAAAAUCUAUUUCAACAAAUUUAGCAUUUGCAAGUUCCUACCAUUAAGAAGAUAUAAUUCCUGUUGUGUCAGAUGUGAAAUUAUUCUGUUUUGCAAACUGACCUAAGCCAAUUUGGCUAUUGUCAACAGACAGAUUCUCUCAGUAAGUGUUGGUACCUGUGAUCAUUAGGGGUGGAUGGAAGCUGUAUCUCCUUUGCUACAACCUUGCUACCCAGAGCUAUUUUUUGAUAAAACCUAGCUUUGAAUCAAAUUUUUGCCUCAGAUACAAAUAUCUAUUGUUCCGCAAGCGCAAAAACAAUUAUAUAGCCAGUACAUAUAAACACAGUGAAGUCCUCAUUCUCUCUCCUUUUAGGUUUCUGAGCAAGAUGCUUGCAUGAAAGAUUCAAUCUAAUGCCAAUGCAAAAAUAUUGUGAAAGCAGCAGGAUCAGCUAGGCUUCCAGUUGGAUCACUUGCUCUGGGGAAAGCCAGCUGUCAUAUUGUGAGCAGACCUAUGAAAAGGCCCACUUGGUGAAGAACUGAGGCCUCUGACUGAUGGACACAUGGGUGACCUUGCAAUCAAGUCUUCUGGCCCCAACCAAGCCUUCAGCUGAGACUGCAGCCUCAUGAAAGAUCCUGAGCUAGAAGCAUCCUGCCAUCCUAAUAAGCCACUUGAAUUUCUGACCCUUAAAAAUUGUGAGAUAAUAAGCACCUGUGCUUUUUUUAAGUAUUAGGUUUAAAAAAUGCUGAAAAAAUAAAGAAGAAAAAAGACAACUCAUAAUCUCACCACAUUAAAAAGAAUAGCUAUAGAAAAAUUCCAGUAGUAUAAAAAAUAAAAAUGGAAAUAACUCCCCACCAUCCCCGAUCUUUAGUUCUUUUUCCCACAGUGACAUUUUCUUUCCCAAGACAUGUUCAUGCAUAUGCAAUAUAUGUAUGCAAUAUAUGUGUAAACUCUUUAAGAUGUUCACAAAAGGAUCAUGUUACACUCACUUGAAAAAAUAUUAUAUAUUGAAGAUGUCUUCAUAUCAGUAUAUAUACAUCUAUCUUAUUUUUAAAAUAGAUUUCCCAUAAUUUAAAUGUACCAUAUUUCUUUUACCAGUCCCCAUAUAUGGACAUUUAGGAUAUUUCCAGUAUUCUUUUCUGUUAUAAAUAUGUGGUGAUAAACACAUAUUUUGAGUACCCUCAAGUAAAGUCCUAUAGGUAGCAUUCUGGCAUCAUGUUGUAUGUGCAUUUAAAGUUGAUGCUAUUUACUUGUUCCACAAUCUUUGCUCUGAGUUUACACUGAUGAAGCAUGGGAAUGCUAUAUCCCCACAAACCUGUGCAUAGUGUUGAUAGUAGGCAUUGUUUGCUAUUUUCUGACUGUUUAUUUUUUUUCUUUUGAGAAUUGCCAUGCCUAGAAGAGUGCUGGUCUUAUAAUAUACAAGAUAAUAACUUGAUAGCUAGCAUUUCUGAGGCUUCUUGUGCUUUGCAUAUAUUUACUGUUUUGAUACUUACAAAGACCCUAUGAAGUUGGUACUAUUAUUACCUGCUUAUGGUUGGUGGGAAAACUGAGCCAUAGAGAAAUUAAACAGACUGUCCCAGGUCACACAACUCGGAAGGGUGGAGCCAGGAUGCAAAUGAUAUGGAAUUUUAAAAAAUGAGUAGUUGAGUGAAUGAAUAAAUUGAUGACCUGUUUACA